UAAGCUCCUGAGGAAUGGGGACCAUGUCUGAGUUGUUGCCACAUGUACCACACCCUGAGCACACCAUCCAGCAUAUGGUAAGUGAUCAGUGACCAUUUGCUGAAUGAACAGGAGCAGAUUUUCAUCUGGCCAGAGUUGGAGUCCUCAGCAGCAUGGAGAAUGUCCCGGUGUGCUGGAUGACACCUUAGAACCAUCAGGACAGAGUUAAAUAUGUUCUGGCCUAAAUAGCAGCUUAAAUGCUGCCCGAUCUUGUAAUGAGACUUGACAGCCCUGUGUAAAUUCAGCAGUAAUAACGUUUCUCAUCCUGCCAUGGAUUUCUGGUGUGGAAAUGUGUGCCCCAGAAGAUUCAGCUUUGCAGUCCCAGCCACUGUCCUGAUAUUCAUAUCUUUGUCCAUAAUUGCUAGGCCACUUUCUUGGUGGAGAAGAAAAUGAUGUAUUUGCUUGCUAAGAAGCAAUGAAGAACCACUGGAUCAAGCUCAUCCCAUUCACCCUGCCCUUUUGACUCCAUAUGUUCCCGACAGAAUGAACUCUCUCUGGCCCCCAGGCUCAUAACUGGAAAAUGAGGCCAACAGUGACAAAACAAGAUCAGUAAAUAGAGACAGAUACCUGAUGAUACACUUGGACCACCUGGAGUCUGCUGUGCCUGAAGUCAUUUACUCUGGACCUGUUGGUUUAUAAGCCAACAAGUUCCCACGUUCACUUGAGCCAAUUGACGAAUAAUGCUUUGGGGAGAAACUAUCACUCAUGCCCUUCAUGGACCUCACACAGCUACCUUACACCAUUUUCACUUCCACCAACAUCUGAAACAAACUUCAAAAACCGCUGUGGAACAAAGGCACUGUAAGCCCCUCGAAGGGAUGGAAGCAAGAGUUAUUUGCAAAACAGAAUUGCACAGCGAGGCACUGAAGAGGCUCACGUUUAGCUGUGGGUUUUUCUAAGGGCCCUGAACAUUCUUCCUGCUUCCUGCCUGGAUAGCAGAAGCCGUCCCUCCUGCACUUAACCUCCUCCUGCCGCCACUCAGCCUGUCCUUUUUGGAUUCCAUAGAUCAGUCUCUGACCACCUCUGGCACCAGCCUCUCCAGCAGCGUGAAGCAGCGAGAGAGGAACAGAUUUCAGACACCCACUUUGGUUCUGAAGCAAAAGCAGUUCUCUCCCCAUGCUCACUGCUCUGCAGAACAUAGAACAAACUGUUUUAAACACAGAGCGAGGGAGGCAGGGAAGUGUGGGAUUCUGGGUGUCUGCUCUCAACUCUGUUUCAGUCCCACAUGACAGAAGUAUCGCUCCAAUGUUCCAGAAUGUUCCAGAGCUUGACUGAGUCCUCAGGGUGAGACCUGACUCCAUGGGAAUCAAAGCCUGAUGUUUAAUGCUGUCUGAUAUCAACUUUCAUUUCAUUUAUUCAUUCACAAAGGCUAUAAAGGACACCAACACCCAUUAUCUCUUUGAUUCUAACUCGCCAAGAGAUGAGGUAUUGCAAGUGGUUAUAACACUCAUGGCUGGCAUUUCUCAUAAAAACAGAGGAAGAGAGGUUAAGUGAUUUCUCUAAAAUCCAUGUGGCCCCUUGCUAACAAUAGCUCAGUUAUUGCAAAAUGUCAUCUAAUGUUUCCUUACACACAACAAUGGCUCUCUUGUUCCUGGCUGCACAAGAAAACAUUUUGGAAAGUUAUUUAAAAAUACCAAUGCUUGUACCCAUGCCAGUUCAACUGAAACUGAAUUUCUGUGACCCGAGUAUAUGGACUCUAUCUAACACUGACUUAUGUUUUUCUCUACCACAUCUCAAAGGCAGGAUGUUUUUCAAGUUAGUAUCAUCAAAGCCUAACAAUGUCUGACACACAGUAGGGACCCAAUAAAUAUUUGGAGAGGAAUAAAUGAGCAGGAAGCUCAUCCACAGGAAGCAUGAGAGAACUGGGCAUUGUUAUCAACCCUGCCUUCAUUUCCAUACUUAUUUUCCUUCUGCCUACAAGAGUAGGUACCAACAAAAAGGAUAAUGAUGAGCCCUGGUUUGGUGGCUAGGUUGGUUGGAGCAUUUUCCCAUACACCAAAAG